GACAGAGGGUGCGAACGUUGUUCGGAAUUACUGGGCGUAAAGCGCAUGUAGGCGGCAGCGCAAGUCGGGCGUGAAAUCCCACGGCUCAACCGUGGAAGUGCACUCGAAACUGCGCAGCUAGAGUCCUGGAGAGGAAGGUGGAAUGCUUGGUGUAGAGGUGAAAUUCGUAGAUAUCAAAGCGGAACACCAGUGGCGAAGGCGACUACCUGGACCAGCACUGACACUGAGGCACGAAAGCGUGGGGAGCAAACAGGA
rnacentral:rRNA from 1 species